UGUGUAGGUGGAACGUUAAGUUAGGCGUGAAAUCCCAUGGCUUAACCAUGGGCUUGCGUCUGAAACUGGCGUUCUUGAGUCACGCAGAGGUAAGUGGAAUUCCUGGUGUAGCGGUGAAAUGCUAAGAUAUCAGGAAGAACACCGGUGGCGUAGGCGGCUUACUGGGCGUUGACUGACACUGAGACACGAAAGCGUGGGUAGCAAACAGGAUUAGAUACCCUGGUAGUCC
rnacentral:rRNA from 1 species